AUAAUUGUGGUUUUACAGAUGAAGGUUGUGCUGCUUUGACUUCAGCUCUGAGAUCAAACCCUGAACACCUGAGAGAUCUGAAUCUGUCAGAUAAUAAUCUAGGAGAUUCAGUGACUCUUCUCUCUGCUGUACUGGAGAAUCCUCGCUGUAAACUGGAGAAACUGUGGUUGAGAGAUUGUGGUCUCACAGAUGAAGGUUGUGCUGCUUUGGCUUUAGCUCUGAGAUCAAACCCUGAACACAUGAAAGUCCUGGAUCUGUCCUGGAAUAAUUUAGGAGAUUCAGUGACUCUUCUCUCUGCUGUACUGGAGGAUCCUCGCUGUAAACUAGAGAAACUGUGGUUGUUUAAUUGUGGUCUCACAGAUAAAGGUUGUUCUGCUUUGGCUUCAGCUCUGAGAUCAAACCCUGAACACCUGACAUUCUUGAGUCUGUCUGAGAAUAAACUAUCAAAAUCAACAGAGAAGCUGCUCUCUGAUCUGAAAGAUGACCCACGUUAUAAACUGGAAACAUUAUACAAUCGCCCAGCCCUAUCCAAUUUGGCAGCCUAGGCAAGAUUUCAGGUGGCCCCCUGUUGCAAGUCCACAGCUUGUGUACAUAUCCACAUAAGAAACUUAUUAGCUUUGUCUUGGACAUUCUUUUAUUUCAAUUAUGCAAAUGCACAUUCAAAAUACUUAGAAAGAAGGAUUUGCAAUGGUGGGACUGAGAAACAUCAGCAGCACAUCUGAAGACAGAAGAGGAAUCCCGGUUGUUAACAUGCACGUCGAAAAAAUACGCAGCACUCAUGCAUUGUAAAACCUGUAUGACGGCCUUUAACGCAGAAGUGUCCACACAGUGGGUUUUGCAAGUCGUCAAAACAAAAAUUCUGCAAGUGUUGGGUCUGAAAGACAAUUUCUUAUAAUUCUUAUAGAAUUGUGAAAUGAAAUUAAUAUUCCUGCAAAAGACUUAUUAAAUGAUCUUGGUAU